rnacentral:rRNA from 1 species
UUAUAAGAGACAGCAGUAGCCACGGGAAUACAGAGGGUGCGAGCGUUAAUCGGAUUUACUGGGCGUAAAGCGUGCGUAGGCGGCUUCUUAAGUCGGAUGUGAAAUCCCUGAGCUUAACUUAGGAAUUGCAUUCGAUACUGGGAAGCUAGAGUAUGGGAGAGGAUGGUAGAAUUCCAGGUGUAGCGGUGAAAUGCGUAGAGAUCUGGAGGAAUACCGAUGGCGAAGGCAGCCAUCUGGCCUAAUACUGACGCUGAGGUACGAAAGCAUGGGGAGCAAACAGGAUUAGAUACCCCUGUAGUCCCUGUCUCUUAUAA